ACAACCAAGAAGAUAGUGUGUCAUAAUUUUAUUUCACAUAAUUCUUUUUAGUUCUGCCUGAAUUAAUCAAUUUGACAAGAUACCCAAUCAAGGCAAGACUACCUGUUGGGUGUUUAAAGAUCAACAGAUCUGUAGCUUGUAGUCAGUUUAUGAAACAGUAGAAAGUCAAAUGAUUCAAAAUUGCAAACUCAUCCUGUUUUCCUGUCUGCUCACACUGCAGGCUACUUUAAUGUAAGGACAUUAUUAAAGAUCUUUUAUUCCAUUUUCUAUCCUGCAGAUUUUUCCCCUGCCGCCCUGUUUCCUGUCUGCCACCCAAAUCUUACAAAUUACCUACAGUUGUAACAUGGUCUACAAUAUCAUGACUGUGUAUAUGUGAGGUGGUAGAUACACCCUGGGAAUUUUUGUUCCAGAAUCGCAAAACCUUUAAUUUGAGCUCAUAUACGUCGUCUUCACAGAGUUCAAAAAGUGCUUUUCAUCGUUUGAAAUAGCUACUUCAAAGCUGAAGAACCUAUCAGGAAAGGAGAAAACAAAGUUUCUUCCCUCUUAGUAAACUGUGAGUAAAAAAUGGAAUAAUUCUACAUACCUGGGAAAAUGUGCCAUGUUUAUUUUGGACACUGAGACAAGUACCUACAGAAUUCUUCAUGGCCCAGAGAAGUCACACCCCAUAGACCUGAACCUUAGUUGUAGGGAUGAUAAUAUCUAUACCCUAUUGAAUUCAGUGAGACUGAGGUCUUUAUCCUACUCAAAUAUGUAGGCUGAUUUUUCUAAAUGUUCUUUCAUGUCUUUCUGAAAAUCUGAGGGAUACUGCGCAAAAAGAACAGUGCACUACUUUGAGAGUGCUACUUUUUUCUUCUGUCUCAGCAUUACUUUAGAUCCUCAUUUAAUUCAUGCAAGACAUGAUUUAAAUACUCUUAAAGUGUAUUACUUAUGUUCUCAUUUCUUUAUAACAGAUACUGACAAAAGUUUUAAGCAAAAUAAAAAAAAGUCAGCAAACAAAAAAAUAAUUCAUAAUCUUCGAGGAUAACAGUUAAGAUACUGAGUGUAUGACUUGCAAGACCACUUAAGAAAUACAUGUUUUUAGUAUGUUUAAUAUAAAGAUUUCUUUGAUUUGAAAAUUUAUUUUAGGGAUAAUGUGGACCUUUUCUUAAGGAAG